GACGAACGCUGGCGGCGUGCUUAACACAUGCAAGUCACGGGGGCUCGCAAGAGCAACCGGCGAACGGGUGCGUAACACGUGAGCAACCUGCCGAUCUGAGGGGGAUAGCCGGCCCAACGGCCGGGUAAUACCGCAUACGUUCUCGAGGGGGAGUCCUCUUGAGAAGAAACCUCCGGGGCAGAUCGAGGGGCUCGCGGCCUAUCAGCUAGUUGGUGAGGUAACGGCUCACCAAGGCAUCGACGGUAGCUGGUCUGAGAGGAUGGCCAGCCAC
rnacentral:rRNA from 1 species